rnacentral:rRNA from 1 species
UACGUAGGGUGCGAGCGUUAAUCGGAUUUACUGGGCGUAAAGCGUGCGCAGGCGGCCCGUUAAGACAGGUGUGAAAUCCCUGGGCUCAACCUAGGAAUUGCGCUUGUGACUGGCGGGCUCGAGUACGGUAGAGGGGGGUGGAAUUCCUGGUGUAGCAGUGAAAUGCGUAGAGAUCUGGAGGAAUACCGAUGGCGAAGGCAGCCCCCUGGGCCUGUACUGACGCUCAUGCACGAAAGCGUGGGGAGCAAACAGG